CAUUGAAACACCGGUUUCCGUACGAUCGCUGAAGUUAAGCAACGUGGAACCGAGUUAGUACCUGCAUGGGUGACCGCUUGGGAAUAACAGAUACUGUAAG
rnacentral:rRNA from 1 species